AGAGCAGGUACCUGCCUUUCAGGCCAGACUUCUUGAACAUACAGCCAAAUAUGGGGCUUUUGCUGAGAUUAUGAGGCUUUACUCCCCUUGGUGCAGACCCCUGCCUGCCCCCUUGGUUUCUCAGGGCUUGUGGAACUAGAGAAGAGGAAUCCUGGAAGGAAAGAAAUGAUGUCAAAGCAUUGCCAUAGAACUUGCCUCAAAGAGCACUUGAAAUAUGAAGGACCGCACCAGGCUGUGUGGAAACAAGCACCCAAUUUAUGAUUGCAUGGCUCUUCUGCUCACACGCAGCACAGACUGUGUGCCCAACAGGUCAGACUGCCCUGUCCAGAGGUAAUCUGGCUCUAGUGUUUCUCUUGCCCAACGGCAGUAGUAGCUGCUUUGUUCAGGCUCAUCCAGAAUAGAUUUUGUUCCAACUUUCUUGUAAUUCUAUGGACAAUAAAGAAUUCAAUAAAGUGGACUUUCAUUGAGGGACGUGUUAAAAG